GGUUUUUGCUAAAGACGAUCGAAAAAUCGUUUAUUUCACAUUUGCUACGUUUUAAGAUCGAUGACGAUGAUCAAGUUUGGAUAGUGUGCAACUAGGCGUAUUUCAUUUAGGACAAACAUAAUUGAUAAACAAUACGAACAUUUUACCGAGAUUUCCGGGCCCCUCUGAGCACUCCGGGCCCCGGGUAUUUUGCCUGCCCCCCCCUCUCGCCAGCCUUGAUCGUCUGGCAUUAGACAGAGUAAAAUAAUAAAGUAUGGAGUAUCAAGGUGCAAUGUGACUCAAUGGGUUAAUCCCACAGAUCAAAUAAUAGGGAUUAGAUCAGUGUUAUUUCAGCACUUUACUGUAUAUUUUAAAU